CUGCAGCAGCACGUUGCCAUCUUUGGUCAGCUUUAUGUCUCCGGCCCCCGACACCAGCCUGCGGGCGACACGAAGCGGUGAAAGAAAACAGUGUCACUGCCUUGCCUCUGAUUUCACACCAAGAGAAACUCCGGACUGCUGCUUGUCCAAGCCCCUCCUCGGCUCUUGUCCCUUGCCCUCCCGUGCUGGCGCUCUGCACGGAGCGAGAUCAGCCCGUGCCGUUGUAUUUAUGUGACUGAAGGUCUCAGCUGAUCCCUUCUUUUCUUGUGCAGCCAAGAGGUUUGCAGCAGCAGCAACAGCCACAGCCAGUACAAUACUGUAAGUCACUGGGAACGUUUUUUUCUCUCAGUUUGGAAGGGGUUGGCGUUUGGCGUAUCAGAUCCAUAACACUUACCAUAUUUUUCUAGCACAGAAAAUGAAGAGUAUCUUCUGCUGGGGCUGUGACUCUGCUGCCCCGCAAGAUGCAGCAACAGUGUGGUGCCUGUUUUAUAACAGCAGCAUGAAUGAAUGAUGCAAUCAUGCAGGGGGGAAGCAUCAUCGUUUUGUCAGGACAGGCAAGAGGGGAUUGGAGAGUUGGGAGGUGUAUGUCAACAUCCAUCAGGUUCCCUCUACCCCUUUUCAACUACUUUUUAAUUAAGCACUGCUGUUCAGAUGUUAGUGUAUAGCUGCAAACAGUUCAUCUCUUGACUUGCAUACAGGUUUGUAUUGCUACCUUUAAAAACUGAACAGAAAACCAGGCAGUGUGAAGCAAGUGUAGUGAGGUUAAGGACCGAAUCUUUCCAUUCUCACACUGAAAACCACAGAAACUCACAAUUAAUGGAUGGAUGGGUUGAACUUUUAAAGAGUAGUACUUGCAGAUAUAAGCAACAGUCUCAAUUUGCUUAUAUAAAACUAAUCUGUCUAAAUGUAUAGCCUUUCCUCUAAAGCUUUCAAAACAUAUUGCUAAUACUGAGAAUUAAAUGUCAGCAUAGAAAAGCUGUAUCAUUAUCUUAUUCCCAUUUUACAGACAUAGGACUAGAAACAAUGCGGAUUAAGUGGUUUGUUUAAACUAAUCCCAUGGAAACACUCCUGUGAACAUUCUUACAAGCAGGACCACUCCUGUAGCGGGAACAGGUCCUGAGAAAAAUUUCAAGAACUAUUUUCUCCAAAUCCCUUACUCUAAGCAGCAGUUUUCCUGCAAUGCAACAGAAACAGUUUAAUGUGGUUGCCUUUCUGUUAAUCUCACUGCGUGUUCAAUGCAACGUUCUCCUGCUGCAGGAAUGUAUCUUGGAGUGUAUCUCAGUGAAGUGCUCACUCUCACCUUGUUAAAUGGGAAAGCGAAUCAGAAUCAAAACACCAGAAACUGUUUGCAAACUAGGAUAUUCCUGAGCGAGCUGUUAAAAAAGGUAUUUUAGGUAAUAUUUCAUUAGGAUUCACUUAACCUUCAUUUUUUCACAGCAAUAAAUGUGAACAUAAUGCAAAGUAGCAGUGCAGCAGCACUUCUGAAAGCCAAAACAUGAUAAGUGAAGUCUAGUCACAGUGAGGAUUUUGAGAUCUUGUCAAGAUCUCAUCAAAAUAUACCAGCCCCAGAACACCUGGAGUUCCGAGUACCAUUUACUUGUUCCUUUUGCAUUACAUGUAGCAGAUAUUGCAGAUGUUCCAGUUUUUCACAGUGCGGCAAGUGCCCUUCUUUCAAGGGUCAGCAAACAGAAAAGAUUUCAGUUGUUUUCCUUUGGCAUGUGGCCUUACAUAAUUCCCGUGCUUGCUUCUGUGA